UAGCAUAUCAAUAAGCGGAGGAAAAGAAACCAACAGGGAUUGCCCUAGUAACGGCGAGUGAAGCGGCAACAGCUCAAAUUUGAAAUCUGGCCCUUGGGUCCGAGUUGUAAUUUGUAGAGGAUGUUUUUGGUGCGGUAUCUUCCGAGUUCCUUGGAACAGGACGCCUUAGAGGGUGAGAGCCCCGUACGGUUGAAUGCCUAGCCUUUGUAAAACUCCUUCGACGAGUCGAGUAGUUUGGGAAUGCUGCUCUAAAUGGGAGGUAAAUUUCUUCUAAAGCUAAAUACUGGCCAGAGACCGAUAGCGCACAAGUAGAGUGAUCGAAAGAUGAAAAGCACUUUGAAAAGAGGGUUAAAUAGCACGUGAAAUUGUUGAAAGGGAAGGAUUUAUGACCAGACUUUUUCUGGGCGGAUCAUCCGGUGUUCUCACCGGUGCACUUCGCUCAGUUUAGGCCAGCAUCGAUUUUCGGUGGGGGAUAAAAGCUUUAGGAAUGUGGCUCCUCCGGGAGUGUUAUAGCCUAUUGUAUAAUACCCUACUGGGGAUCGAGGUACGCGCUUCUGCAAGGAUGCUGGCGUAAUGGUUAUCAAUCACCCGUCUUGAAACACGGACCAAGGAGUCGAACAUUUGUGCAAGUGUUUGGGUGUUAAACCCUCACGCGUAAUGAAAGUGAACGGAGGUGAGAGCCCUUACGGGUGCAUCAUCGACCGAUCCUGAUGUUUUCGGAUGGAUUUGAGUAAGAGCAUAACUGUUCGGACCCGAAAGAUGGUGAACUAUGCGUGGAUAGGGUGAAGCCAGAGGAAACUCUGGUGGAGGCUCGCAGCGGUUCUGACGUGCAAAUCGAUCGUCAAAUCUGCGCAUGGGGGCGAAAGACUAAUCGAACCAU
rnacentral:rRNA from 1 species